GUUUUCGGAUGGAAUUAAAAUUGACUUAGCGGCGGACGGGUGAGUAACGCGUGGGUAACCUGCCUCAUACAGGGGGAUAACAGUUAGAAAUGACUGCUAAUACCGCAUAAGCGCACAGUGCCACAUGGCACAGUGUGAAAAACUCCGGUGGUAUGAGAUGGACCCGCGUCUGAUUAGGUAGUUGGUGAGGUAAUGGCUCACCAAGCCGACGAUCAGUAGCCGACCUGAGAGGGUGACCGGCCACAUUGGGACUGAGACACGGCCCAAACUCCUACGGGAGGCAGCAGUGGGGAAUAUUGGACAAUGGGGGAAACCCUGAUCCAGCGACGCCGCGUGAGUGAAGAAGUGUUUCGGCAUGUAAAGCUCUAUCAGCAGGGAAGAAAAUGACGGUACCUGACUAAGAAGCCCCGGCUAACUACGUGCCAGCAGCCGCGGUAAUACGUAGGGGGCAAGCGUUAUCCGGAUUUACUGGGUGUAAAGGGAGCGUAGACGGUUCUGCAAGUCUGGAGUGAAAGCCCGGGGCUCAACCCCGGGACUGCUUUGGAAACUGUGGAACUAGAGUGCAGGAGAGGUAAGUGGAAUUCCUAGUGUAGCGGUGAAAUGCGUAGAUAUUAGGAGGAACACCAGUGGCGAAGGCGGCUUACUGGACUGUAACUGACGUUGAGGCUCGAAAGCGUGGGGGAGCAAACGGGAUUAGAUACCCUGGGUAGUCCACGCCCGUA
rnacentral:rRNA from 2 species